rnacentral:rRNA from 1 species
CCUACGGGAGGCAGCAGUGAGGAAUAUUGGUCAAUGGGCGCGAGCCUGAACCAGCCAAGUAGCGUGAAGGAUGACUGCCCUACGGGUUGUAAACUUCUUUUAUAAAGGAAUAAAGUGAGGCACGUGUGCCUUUUUGUAUGUACUUUAUGAAUAAGGAUCGGCUAACUCCGUGCCAGCAGCCGCGGUAUUACGGAGGAUCCGAGCGUUAUCCGGAUUUAUUGGGUUUAAAGGGAGCGUAGAUGGGUUGUUAAGUCAGUUGUGAAAGUUUUCGGCUCAACCGUAAAAUUGCAAUUGAUACUGGCAGUCGUGAGUACAGUUGAGGUAGGCGGAAUUCGUGGGGUAGCGGUGAAAUGCAUAGAUAUCACGCAGAACUCCGAUCGCGAAGGCAGCCUACCGGCGCGCAACUGACGCUCAUGCACGAAAGCGUGGGUAUCGAACAGGAUUAGAUACCCCUGUAGUC